rnacentral:sRNA from 1 species
CCUACCUGAAGAUGGCGCCAAUUACCGU